AUGCGUUGGUACCAUGGUGACUCACUUAUCAAUAAGGGUGUGAGUCUCAAAUUUUGCCACGACACUCACAAGUUUCUCGAAAUAGAUUGAGAGAGAAUACGAUAGAGAGAGAAAGUAGAAAGGAGAGGUAACAGACGGCAGCCGGGUGGUUUCAACCUCCGACAACGGCAGAGGUAAGGUCGCAUCCUUCACCUCCGACGCCUACAGUCUGAAACUCGAAAGAUAUUCAAGACUUCGAUUUGUUCGAGCUCUGAGAUACCAAAUUAAAUGGAGACACCAUUUGUAGUUAGACUUGCAGUUGCUGGUGUUGCAUCUGCUGGAACGUAUGGAAUCCAAGUUUGUAGUUCAGACCAGUCACACAUGUAGUUCACAAAUUUUAUCAUGGCAGUUUUCAACCUCAAAAAAGGAGGAACGGAUAUAAAUUAACAGGUUGUAACAAGCCGGCUGAAUUUUUUGGCAGAUUGCAGGCGACAUUACCCGGGCCAUAUUGCCUCUUGGAAUUUCACCAGCUUGCAAGUAAAUUUUAUUCGCAAUGGGUCAGACUGCAUAUGGUAGCGUAGAUAUAUUCGCAACAAGUUACUUAUAGUGGUUGUAGCAUAGUGCUAAUAUAAUUAUUGUAUAAUACGAGACACGGUUAUUUUGCAACCUGGAAUACUACAGUUAGCAAUCAACAAACUCAUGAAAGGCUUAAACUCAUUUAAGCCUUUAGUAGGCGUCAAGGGAGGAAUCAGGAUGCAGUCGAUUUCAUUGAGGGCAGGAUACUGGAAACUGGCAAACUGCUGGAUUCAAAGCAAAAUGGUGUUAGGUGAUGUUGGAUCAUGCACAUAAUAUAGGCAAGCCAACUAAGGAGAAAAAGGCCAUACACGUGGUCUUUUUGUUGGCUAUCCGGAAACUUUGGAAUCGAAGAAACGAGAAAGUUCAAGGAGUGCUCCUAUGGACGAAUAGGGUCAAAUGUGUUGUAGUAACUUUGUUCAAGUAAUCUGUUGUUUUUUGUUAUUUUUUAGUCUUAGGGUUGGUUUGUUGGCUUAGCUGCUUGCUAAGUCCAACUUUUUGUUCGCUACAUACUGAAUUACUAAUUCAAAUAACGCAUUUGUCACUUUAGUUUUUUCAUGGUUUU
rnacentral:lncRNA from 1 species